GGGCAGAGCAGAUGGCUCGAGACUGCUCGAUGGCACCAGAUUAAGGUAACCAAGUGCGCCUUCAUCAUCUUCCUGGGAUGCGAUGACCUCACUCCCUGUCCAGCAGCAGCACUGUCUCUCUGGAGCAUGGGAAAACCCUUCUCUAGAACAUGCUGGAUUCAUGGUUGCACUUUCCACCUUUCCAAGUUUGGCCACAUCUGUGUGUGCUUCCACAUGGCUCAAAUGUAGAAGGGUAAAUUACAGCCUUGUGAAAUGGUCGAUGCUACUCACAAAAUGCUGUCAAACUGAAUUACAGGAGCCUUUGAUGGAGAUAAUAAAGAUCAAAUAACAUUGCCUUCCUUUUCCAGAUGGCAUUUCUUUCCAAGAUUUAGUUUCAAUCAAUACCAUUAUUGCUACCCAUGCAUUUUUGUCAUUCCAACAUCAACAAAAAAUUCUUGUCUUUCUAACUUGUGAGAUAACUGUUUUAGCCAUCAGAAUAUUUUUUUAAUGUAUACUUUUUAGUAGAAAGGUAUUAAUUUUGUAAAUGCUAUGCUUUACCCAACAGAGUCCUUGCUCUUGGAUGUAAGGACGGUGAGUUGUACAAAUAUUUUGCAGCAUCACUGAGCUAGGACUAAAACACUAACACUUUGAGAGAGAAUUAGAUGUUCCAGUUUUUCAGCAUAUUCUUCUUCCUACACAGCAUCACAGUAGCAUGAAUCAUUUUAGAAAUAAUCUGUGAUUAACAAAAUCAUGUCCAAGGCCAAUCCUAGACAAUCCAGGGGAGACUCAGAAGCUCAGUUUUUUCAGGAAUCUCCCAUGAUGUCCCACCAGGUUGCCUCACCAAAUUCUCAGUCAUCAAGCACUUGACGUCUCCAGCUUAUAUUAACCAUGUUUAUCAUUAUUCACAUGAUGUCCUUCCCUUUAAAUUGUAGUCCCCAUUAGAGCAAAGACUACAACUUAUCCAAGCCAUCUAUCUCCCUAGGACCUUGCAGAGUCCCUGGCAUAUACCAAUUGUUUAAUUAAUAUAUAUUGAAUGGAUACAUGAUCAAAGACAGGGUUUUCAUUUCCAGUUUGGGUCACUAUUUUAACUCCUUUGGUUCUAGUCUAGAACAGGCCUACUUGGCAACAAACAGCCCCAAGGUAAGGAAGAGAGAGAGAUGGAGCAAAUUGAAAUCUCUAUAGGGGUCAGGCAGGGCUGGUCAUAGGGUGUAGGAUGAGCCCUGAAAAAAGAGGACGAUUGAGUUCGGUUCAUUGUAGCCAUGUGACAAAUCCAGAUCUUAUUUUGUUUUUCCCAAAGAGAAGAGAUUUCUUAAUUUUCACAUGAAGUUACCAGACUGGCAACACUUUCU
rnacentral:lncRNA from 1 species